rnacentral:rRNA from 1 species
GAUGAACGCUAGCUACAGGCUUAACACAUGCAAGUCGAGGGGCAGCACUAGGUAGCAAUACUGAGGUGGCGACCGGCGCACGGGUGCGUAACGCGUAUCCAACCUUCCCGUUACUCUUGGAUAGCCUUCCGAAAGGGAGAUUAAUACAGGAUGGUGUUGAAAUUCCGCAUGUUAUUUCAACUAAAGAUUUAUCGGUAACGGAUGGGGAUGCGUGACAUUAGAUAGUAGGCGGGGUAACGGCCCACCUAGUCUACGAUGUCUAGGGGUUCUGAGAGGAAGGUCCCCCACACUGGAACUGAGACACGGUCCAGACUCCUACGGGAGGCAGCAGUGAGGAAUAUUGGUCAAUGGUCGGAAGACUGAACCAGCCAAGUAGCGUGAAGGAUGAAGGUUCUAUGGAUUGUAAACUUCUUUUAUACGGGAAUAAACACCUUACGUGUAGGUCUUGUAUGUACCGUAUGAAUAAGCAUCGGCUAACUCCGUG